rnacentral:misc_RNA from 1 species
GUGAAUCAUCGAAUUUUUGAACGCAAAUUGCACUCUUUGCUGAGAGUAUGCCUGUUUGAGGUUCAGUAUUAAUAAUAAUCUGAGUGUUGCUUUUUUGUUACGCUCCGGCGUUUGGGUCAUCUUAAUAUCCUGUAGGUUUUAAUUGGCUUAAGAUUGACUGUUUUUGCGCAUUUUAGAUGUACAUAAAUUUUUUUUUAUUCGUCUAUUCUUAAUGCUAAAUUCUUAUUAUAUGUGAUCACAUCGUGUGGCUUCGUGUCCAUAA